CGUAGCAUACAGCUCAGUAACACGUGGCUAACCUGCCCUUGGGACGGAAACAUCCCCGGGAAACUGGGGCUAAUUUCCGAUAGGUGAAGACUCCUGGAAUGGAUUUUCGCCUAAAGGGCGCUUAGGGCAUGCUUCUAGGCGUUGCCCAAGGAUGGGGCCGCGGCCGAUCAGGUUGUUGGUGAGGUAAUGGCUCACCAAGCCUUUAACCGGUACGGGCCGUGGGAGCGGUAGCCCGGAGAUGGGCACUGAGACAAGGGCCCAGGCCCUACGGGGCGCAGCAGUCGCGAAAACUUCGCAAUAAGCGAAAGCUUGACGGGGCCAUCCCGAGUGCCAUCUGCUGAGGAUGGCUUUUACCCAGUAUAGAUAGCUGGGGGAAUAAGGAGAGGGCAAGUCUGGUGUCAGCCGCCGCGGUAAUACCAGCUCUCCGAGUUGUAGGGAUGUUUAUUGGGCCUAAAGCAUCCGUAGCCGGCUGGACAAGUCCUCUGUUAAAUCCAGCGACCAAUCGUUGGUCUGCGGGGGAUACUGUCCGGCUAGGGGGCGGGAGAGGCCGUCGGUAUUCUUGGGGUAGGGGUGAAAUCCUAUAAUCCCAGGAGGACCACCAGUGGCGAAGGCUGUCGGCUAGAACGCGCCCGACGGUGAGGGAUGAAAGCUGGGGGAGCGAACCGGAUUAGAUACCCGGGUAGUCCCAGCUGUAAACGAUGCAGGCUAGGUGUUAGGGCGGCUACGCGCCGCUCUAGUGCUGCAGGGAAGCUGUUAAGCCUGCCGCCUGGGGAGUACGGCCGCAAGCUGAUC
rnacentral:rRNA from 1 species